ACGGGAGGCAGCAGUGGGGAAUAUUGCACAAUGGGCGAAAGCCUGAUGCAGCAACGCCGCGUGAGGGACGACGGCCUUCGGGUUGUAAACCUCUUUUAGCAGGGAAGAAGCGAAAGUGACGGUACCUGCAGAAAAAGCGCCGGCUAACUACGUGCCAGCAGCCGCGGUAAUACGUAGGGCGCAAGCGUUAUCCGGAAUUAUUGGGCGUAAAGAGCUCGUAGGCGGUUUGUCGCGUCUGCUGUGAAAUCCCGAGGCUCAACCUCGGGUCUGCAGUGGGUACGGGCAGACUAGAGUGCGGUAGGGGAGAUUGGAAUUCCUGGUGUAGCGGUGGAAUGCGCAGAUAUCAGGAGGAACACCGAUGGCGAAGGCAGAUCUCUGGGCCGUAACUGACGCUGAGGAGCGAAAGGGUGGGGAGCAAACAGGCUUAGAUACCCUGGUAGUCCACCCCGUAAACGUUGGGAACUAGUUGUGGGGUCCAUUCCACGGAUUCCGUGACGCAGCUAACGCAUUAAGUUCCCCGCCUGGGGAGUACGGCCGCAAGGCUAAAACUCAAAGGAAUUGACGGGGACCCGCACAAGCGGCGGAGCAUGCGGAUUAAUUCGAUGCAACGCGAAGAACCUUACCAAGGCUUGACAUAUACGAGAACGGGCCAGAAAUGGUCAACUCUUUGGACACUCGUAAACAGGUGGUGCAUGGUUGUCGUCAGCUCGUGUCGUGAGAUGUUGGGUUAAGUCCCGCAACGAGCGCAACCCUCGUUCUAUGUUGCCAGCACGUAAUGGUGGGAACUCAUGGGAUACUGCCGGGGUCAACUCGGAGGAAGGUGGGGAUGACGUCAAAUCAUCAUGCCCCUUAUGUCUUGGGCUUCACGCAUGCUACAAUGGCCGGUACAAAGGGCUGCAAUACCGUAAGGUGGAGCGAAUCCCAAAAAGCCGGUCCCAGUUCGGAUUGAGGUCUGCAACUCGACCUCAUGAAGUCGGAGUCGCUAGUAAUCGCAGAUCAGCAACGCUGCGGUGAAUACGUUCCCGGGUCUUGUACACACCGCCCGUCAAGUCAUGAAAGUCGGUAACACCUGAAGCCGGUGGCCCAACCCUUGUGGAGGGAGCC
rnacentral:rRNA from 1 species